UAGGGAAUCUUCGGCAAUGGGGGGAACCCUGACCGAGCAACGCCGCGUGAGUGAAGAAGGUUUUCGGAUCGUAAAGCUCUGUUGUUAAGGAAGAACGAGUGUGAGAAUGGAAAGUUCAUACUGUGACGGUACUUAACCAGAAAGGGACGGCUAACUACGUGCCAACAGCCGCGGUAAUACGUAGGUGGCAAGCGUUGUCCGGAUUUAUUGGGCGUAAAGCGAGCGCAGGCGGUCAAUUAAGUCUGAUGUGAAAGCCCCCGGCUCAACCGGGGAGGGUCAUUGGAAACUGGUUGACUUGAGUGCAGAAGAGGAGAGUGGAAUUCCAUGUGUAGCGGUGAAAUGCGUAGAUAUAUGGAGGAACACCAGUGGCGAAGGCGACUCUCUGGUCUGUAACUGACGCUGAGGCUCGAAAGCGUGGGUAGCAAACAGG
rnacentral:rRNA from 1 species